rnacentral:rRNA from 1 species
GAUGAACGCUGGCGGCGUGCCUAAUACAUGCAAGUCGAGCGAACAGACGAGGAGCUUGCUCCUCUGACGUUAGCAGCGGACGGGUGAGUAACACGUGGAUAACCUACCUAUAAGACUGGGAUAACUUCGGGAAACCGGAGCUAAUACCGGAUAAUAUAUUGAACCGCAUGGUUCAAUAGUGAAAGACGGUUUUGCUGUCACUUAUAGAUGGAUCCGCGCCGCAUUAGCUAGUUGGUAAGGUAACGGCUUACCAAGGCAACGAUGCGUAGCCGACCUGAGAGGGUGAUCGGCCACACUGGAACUGAGACACGGUCCAGACUCCUACGGGAGGCAGCAGUAGGGAAUCUUCCGCAAUGGGCGAAAGCCUGACGGAGCAACGCCGCGUGAGUGAUGAAGGUCUUCGGAUCGUAAAACUCUGUUAUUAGGGAAGAACGAAUGUGUAAGUAACUAUGCACGUCUUGACGGUACCUAAUCAGAAAGCCACGGCUAACUACGUC